GAUGAACGCUGGCGGCGUGCCUAACACAUGCAAGUCGAGCGUGAACCCUGCGAAUGAAACUUCGGUCGAUUUUGCAGGGGGAAAGCGGCGGACGGGUGAGUAACGCGUAGGUAACCUGCCCCAUACUGAGGGAUAGCCUCGGGAAACCGGGAUUAAUACCUCAUAACACCGUAUAUUCGCAUGGAUGUGCGGUCAAAGAUUUAUCGGUAUGGGAUGGGCCUGCGUCUGAUUAGCUGGUUGGUGGGGUAACGGCCUACCAAGGCGACGAUCAGUAGCCGGCCUGAGAGGGUGUACGGCCACACUGGGACUGAGACACGGCCCAGACUCCUACGGGGGCAGCAGUAGGGAAUUUUCGGCAAUGGGCGAAAGCCUGACCGAGCGACGCCGCGUGAGGGACGAAGGCCUUCGGGUUGUAAACCUCUGUCUGGGGGAUGAGAACGGACGGUACCCCGGAGGAAGCCCCGGCUAACUACGUG
rnacentral:rRNA from 1 species